GGCUCCUUGGUCAAGCGGUUAAGACACCGCCCUUUCACGGCGGUAACACGGGUUCGAGUCCCGUAGGGGGCA
rnacentral:tRNA from 1 species